rnacentral:lncRNA from 1 species
UUCAGGGAAAAUUGUAGAAAUGGAACAAGCUUCUGAUUUGUUGCUGUGCCUCACUGCCUGGCAAGCCUUCCGUCACUGUGCUUGGAAUUCGAGGUGCUGCCCCUUUUACCCCACCAAAACUGUAUAUCUUGAAUGACAAAAGCCUCGUAUUUUCGGGUGUCGCUCGAUUAUUUAUGAAAAUUGGGGGGGCGCGCCUCGAACAGAGCAUGCCUUCUGUUUCAAAUGUGCAAUUUUGCUGGGUUAAAACGGGCAAAGCGACGCUCCUGAGCAGAGCACGGCAGGCCCCAGGCAUCUGGGAUAAUAUCAUUGUCGGGUGAUCUGUAAAUUCCCUGGCCGGCACUUGGCUUUGUACUGUAGCUUUUGUUGACAGAAGGCAAUGCGCUGUGUCGGGUUUGCUAGCCGUUUAUGCCUUUUGUUAGACACGUGUUUUUUCCUUUCGGUUUUGCCAUCAUGCCGACGAGGAAGGAACUGGUGUCACCCCGGUGUGAAUAUGAUGACUGGCUGGCUGGCAAGUACGUACCUGACGCAUUUUCUUCAAAAAAGAUCGGAUUUGUGAUCCUUGGUCCCUUUUGGCGACCCUGUGGAGCGCGGACAAACCAAAUCCGGUCUUGUGCAGGUCGCAGAACGAAAGAGAAACGGA